GAUGAACGCUAGCUACAGGCUUAACACAUGCAAGUCGAGGGGCAGCGGUAUCGAAAGCUUGCUUUCGGUAGCCGGCGACCGGCGCACGGGUGAGUAACGCGUAUCGAACCUGCCUCAUACUCGGGAAUAGCCUUGCGAAAGAAAGAUUAAUGCCCGGUGUUUUCCGAGUCCCGCAUGAGGCUUUGAACAAAGAUUUAUCGGUAUGAGAUGGCGAUGCGUCCCAUUAGCUUGUUGGCGGGGUAACGGCCCACCAAGGCAUCGAUGGGUAGGCGGCCUGAGAGGGUGACCGGCCCGCGUGGGACUGCGAUACCGCCCAGAGUCCUACGGGAGGCAGCAGUGGGGAAUGUUGCACAGUGGACGGAAGCCAGAUGCAGCAACGCCGCGUGCGGGGUGACGGCCUUCGGGUUGUAAACCGCUAUCGCCGGUGGCGGAGCGUGAGUGACGGUAAUGGGUAAAGAAGCACCGGCUAACUUCGUG
rnacentral:rRNA from 1 species